GUGGCGGUAUCCCUUUAAGAGCCAUUUGGUACAAUUCAUAGCUUGAUUCGUGUCACCAGCUGCCUCUGAUUUCAGGAAGAAAUGCAGAAAUUUACAGGGAACUAUAAAAUGGGGACAGGUUUUUAGUUUUCUAAAUUGAGGUUUAACUGGCAAACUUCUGAAGGUUUAAGAAACCAUAAAGCUGGACGGUGGAAAGCUGGUUUCUUUUUCCGGUCAGAACAAAUAAACACACAAACACACAUCUAACUCUCAAAGUAUCUGGAGAGAGAAAUCAAUGCUCUUUGCAGAGGGGAGAAUGAAAAAGCAGCUUUGCGGGCACCAGGAGGACAGCCACAUUGGCCAGCAGGCAGCGAGCACGCUGUCCUGGCAGAAGGCGAAAUCUGAGCUUCAGCAGCGACGGGAGCAGAAUUUGCACAAACUCUCCUGUUUCAAGUUGCACGUCUCCGGAGUCCCAGGAAAGGCACCCAGCAUGGCCACAGCUCCCUUUGCAGAGCCCCAAGGGUUGCCGAGAAACACCACAACCUCCCACAAGACGCGCAGGUAUUUUCUGAUGACAACUGUUAUUAUCUCUACUGUCAAAAUAAGAUGAUGAGGCGUCAAAUACUGAGGAACCCAGAGGUUGAUUCAUCGCAAACCUACACUUUGUAAGUGAACCUUUUAAUUCUCUUCUAUUUCUGUCUCUUAAAAUACUUUCUUUCAAAAAUAGUGUUUUCCUGAUUUCAAGAUGGAAUGAUUGGAGAAGAG
rnacentral:lncRNA from 1 species